CAGUCAUAUUAUGUUGAAACACCAGUUCUCAUACAAUUACCUAAAGUUAAGCAAUGUUCAGCUUGGUCAGUAGCUAGAUGGGUGACCACUUGGGAAUACCAGGUGCUGUA